AAUGGCCAGCACAGUCAUCGCUGGCAACGAUGGCAUGCAUAGUCAAGGUUGUGAACUUUUGCCAGCUCACCAUUUCUCACAGUUAAGAUAGUUAUUUGAGCCGGGUGCAGUGACUCCCACCUGUAAGUCCUGGCUACUCGGGAGACUGAGGUGGGAGGAUAUCUUGAGUCCAGGAGUUCAAGGCUGCAAUGAGCCAUGAUCAAGUUGCUGCACUUCAGCUUGGGCAACAGAGCAAGACCCUGUGUUUGAAAAAGAAACAAAGAUAUUUUUCUCCUCUAGGAUGCGAUGAGGUCACACAUCCUCCACUGUACCACCCCACCAUGUGUGUCCCACUUGGGGCUCCAAGACCCAGACCCUCCCCAAAAGACAAACAAACCAACCAGCUCAACAUGACCAUCCCCCUCAAGAGUCCCCAGGGGAGAUGUCUGAGUGGUGAGAAGGGCACUGAACUCCACCCCGAGGCUUUGCGAAGAGGGGAAGGCUAAGCUGAGACUUAAACAGAACUUCCCAGGGGAAGAAGGGGAGUGGGGUGUGGGCAUUCCGGGAAAAGGGGACAGCAAGCGCGUAGGCUAGAAGUGAGACACAGCCUGGUUGUGUGAGACACAACGGGCAGCUGAGCUAAGGGUGUGCGACACUAAAUAAGGGGACUAAGGCCAGGUGCCAGGCAGGGGCACUGCUGCAGGACCAGCAGGGUGGAGGCUGCUGUGAUAGGCCGAUAACCUGUCCCCAUCGCCUCCCCGCAGCAUGGUGGCCUCACCGUCCCGCACAUGUCAGUCCCUCGUCCAGACCCCUGCUCGAGCCAGUCUUGGCACCUGGAGUUCCCUUCCCCUCCACCAAUGCUCACCUUGGUCCUAGAAGACCUAGGCUCCUUGAGGCCCUGGCCAGGCCCACUUGCCUGUCUGAAUCCCUGUGGGGAUCCACGGGCAUCCCUAUCACUUAGCCUACUCCCAUCCCUGCGGAGACCAUCAGGGGUUGCCCCAAGCCUCUGUCAACUCUAUCACAUUGCAGAGGUCUUAAUCCUCUACAAUGUCUGUUUUUCUUUGUAGCCACUGAGGAUCUCGUGGUCUACAUGGGUUUCAUCCACAUCUGUGUUCCCAGUGCCCAGCACAGAGCAAGUCCCAUAGCAGAUCCUGCCUCAGUGAUAUAGAAAAAAGAUGAAGGUGAUCUGGAAGAGGAAGCCCUGAGAUGCUGUCAAAGGAAGAAAAAGAUCCAGGGUAGAAGUAGGGGAGACGACUGGCAUGUGGGCAACAAACCCUGUCUUCUAAAAACACCUGUGCCCUUGAAGUAGGGAGACAAGCCCGGAAGAAAGUCCUGGAGCUCCACCAACUCCAACGCCAGUGUGCGCCUACUGCAAACGCAGGCCAAGGGUUAUUGUUCCCACUUACAGAUGAGAAAACUUAGAUAGAUCAUGCUAUGGUCUGAAUGCUGGUGUCCCUCCAAUAUUCACAUGUUAGAACUUGAUCCCCAGUGUGAUAGUAUUAAGAGGUGGGGCCUUUUGGAAGUAAUCGAGUCCUGAAGGCUCUGCCCUUAUGAAUGGGAUUAUGUCCUUAUAAAAGAGGCUCAAGUGAGCUCCCUGGCCUCUUCUGCCACAUAAGAACACAGCAACGAGACGCCAUCUAUGGAGCAGAAGGCAAACCCUUACCAGACACCACAUCUGCUGGGGCCUUGAUCUUGGACUUCCCAGCUUUCAGAACUGCAAGCAAAAAAAUUCUGUUGUUUAUAAAUUACCCAAUCUAAAGUAUUUUGUUGUCAUGGCAGGAAAGGACUGACAGGUCAGUGUCACAUAACUCACCCAAUCAGAGUGGGCAGGGUAAGGUCUUCUGAUUCCAAGGCCAGAGCCAAGGGGACUAGUUUGUUAGUGAUCCUGGGAAGAAGUGCUAUUUGCUUAUCCAGGAAAUACAGAUUAAAACCCCAGUACAUGGGGCCAGGCACGGUGGCUCAUGCCUGUAAUCCCAGCACUUUGGGAGGCCAAGGCGGGUGGAUCACAGGGUCAGGAGAUUGAGAUCAUCCUGGCUAACAUGGUGAAACCCCGUCUCUACUAAAACUACAAAAAAUUAGCCGGGUGCGGUGGUGGGCGCCUGUAGUCCCAGCUACUCAGGAGGCUGAGGCAGGAGAAUGGCAUGAACCUGGGAGUUGGAGGUUGCAGUGAGCCGAGAUCGCGCCACUGCACUCCAUCCUGGGUGACAGAGCGAGAUUCCGUCUCAAAAAGUAAAAAUAAAUAAAUAAAUAAAUAAAUAAAUAAAUAAAUAAAACCCCAGUACAACACAUACCCUCAGGAUGGCUAAAAUGAGUAAGAGAGAUUUUAAAAAUUUGGUGUUGGUGAGGAUGUGCAGCAACUGUAACUGUGCUUUACAUGGCUGGUAAGAAUGCAAACUGGCAUAUCAACACUUUGCAAAAGCAUCUAAAGACGCCUACCAAAGCUAACCAUAUGCAGACCCUAUAACCCAGCAAUUACAUUUCUAGGUACCAAAAGCAUUCCAGAUACUAGAAUUUUCAUAGCACUAACUAUAAAGCCAAAAAGCUGGAAAUACCCAAAUACCCAUAAAAAACAUAGGGUUUGGUUUGGUGGUUUUAUUUUUUUUUGGUUUUUGUUUGUUUGUUUUGUUUUUUUGAGAGGGAGUCUCACUCUGUCGCCAGGCUGGAGUGCAGUGGUGUGAUCUCAGCUCACUGCAACCUCCGACUCCCUGGUUCAAGUGAUUCUCCUGCCUCAGCCUUCCAAGUAGCUGGGAUUACAGGCACGCACCACCAAGCCCAGCUAAUUUUUGUAUUUUUAGUAGAGACGGGGUUUCACUAUGUUGUCCAGGAUGGUCUUGAUCUCCUGACCUCGUGAUCCGCCCGCCUCGGCCUCCCAAAGUGCUGGGAUUACAGGAGUGAGCCACUGAGCCCAGCCAGAAAAACAUAGUUGAUAAAAAUAUCGUGGUAUAAGGCCGGGAGUGGUGGCUCACGCCUGUAAUCCCAAAACUUUGGGAGGCCAAGGCGGGUGGAUCACGAGGUCAAGAGAUCGAGACCAUCCUGGCCAACGUGGUGAAACCUCGUCUCUACUAAAAUUACAAAAUAACUGGGCAUGGUGGUGUGCGCCUAUAGUCCCAGCUACUCGGGAGGCUGAGGCAGGAGAAUCACUUGAACCUGGAAGACAGAGGUUGCAGUGAGUCGAGAUCACGCCGCUGCACUCCAGCAUGGAGGACAAAGUGGGACUCUGUCUCAAAAAAAUAAAAAAAUAAAUAAUAUAUAUAUAGUCAUAUAAUUAUAGAAUAUGAAUGAGCAAGCUAUAAUUACACAUAGCCAUGGAUAAAUGUCACAAACAUAAUGCUGAGCAAAAUGAGUCAGACACCAAAGAGCAAAUAUUAUAUGAACCCAUUUACACAGUUUUCAAACCAGACAUUCAUCAAUGGUGUUACAAGUCAGGAUAGCGGCGUCCCUUAAUGUGGGUAGGGACAAGAAAGGAUUUCGGUGGUGCUGGUUGCAUGAGGGUGCUACAGUUAUGUGGUGGUGGUUACAUUUUUCACGAAGUGAAAAAUCAUCAAGCCAUACGCUUAUGACUUGUACAUUAUGAUUUCGGUAUGUAUGCUAUUCUUCAAUAAAAAUGUAAGCUUACAAAAAUUAAGGACAAUCUCUACUAACUGAGAGAGAGUGAAUCCAGGAUGUAUUGUUAAGUUUAAAAUAGUAAAGUGCAAAACUAUAACUCUAGAAUGCUACUUUGUGUGUAAGAAAGAAGGGGAAAUAAGAAAUUAUUACCCUUUUAUAUAUUAUGGAAGGGGGAAUAUAUAAAUUUAUAUUAUAUAUUUAUAAUAUAUUAUAUUAUAUUAUAGAAGAUUAUUUUUGCAAAAAGAAACACAGGAAGGAUAAACGAAUGAGAUCAGUUACCUACAGAGGUAGGGUGGGAAUGGGGUGGAAGGGAUAUGAGCAGAGAGCUAUUUUUUCUGAGUAUAAAUGUUUUGUAUAGUGUUGGCUUUCAGAACCACAUCAGUGCUUUACCUGUUCAAACAACAACAAUAAUAAAGGAUGGGGGAAGUCUCUAAAAUGUAAUACAAUCAGAAACAAACAAACCUAAUGCAUUUCAAAUGAAUAACAACCACACUAAAAGGAGGGGAAAAUCUGACCCAAGGGCAUUUUGAACACAGUAUUUUACUAUAUACGCCCAGACAAAAGAUAAAAAAGAUCUGCAAAAAUGUCAGACUCUAGUUAGCAGGUUUGUUUUUUGCAGCGGUAUGGUUUAGCCAUUCUGAAACUUCUAGGCUUCGGCAUAUGAGUAAAUAUAAUGACAAUCACGGGGUCCAAGUUUCUCACUGUUGAAGAAGUGAGUUACAGGUAUUGGAAGGGAGAAGACAAAAAUGUACCCUUAGGUAUUAAAUUGAAAUUGGAGGUAACCAUACAAGCACAUGGCUUUAUAUAGAGAUGUUAAUAUAGAUAUGGUCAUGGAUAUUCUACCUCCCAGAUCAUUCUCUCCUAAAAUAAAUAAGGGAUCGUUGGAGAAAUAGCUGAUUUCCAGGACAAGUACGUGAUGAACCUGAAAGUAAGAAAAUGCUCAAAGAAUGAUGGGGAAAUGUCAAAAAGACACAGGGGCCAGCUUGAAGGAGCUCCCACUGGCCAAACCUGGAACAAUUUGAGCACCAAAAUGAAUAAUGAUAAGAAUGAAUUACAACCCACUGAAUAAAAUAAGAAUCCCUGAGUCCAUACAGAGAUAACAUAAUAAGUAUAAAUAAAUACAUGAGGAAAAGAAAAAGCUCUUCUGUAUAGUAAAAUUCAAACUAAUAAAGAGGAAAUUCUGAGGUUAGAAAAUUACAUUUGACCAGCAUCAUAGUAAUAAUUGAUUCAGGCAAGAAUCAUCAAUAGAUCCUGAAAUUAGUGGGUGAAAAAUCUGACAAAGAACUGGAUAUGUAUAUGGUCUAAAGGUAACUCACCACAAAGUACUUUUUUUUUUUGUUUGAGAGAGAGAGACAGGGUCUCACUCCUGUUGGCCAGGCUGGCAUGCAGUGUGGCACAAUCACAGCUCAUUACAGCCUCAAACUUCUGGUGGACCCAAAUGAUCCUCCCACCUCAGCCUCCAGAGUAGCUGGGACUACAGGUGCAUGCUACCACACCUGGCUAAUAUAUACCUAUACAUAUAUAUGAUAUAUAUAAUCAUAUGUAAGUUAUAUACAUCAUAUCAUAUAUGUAGAUAUAUGACAUAUAUAUAGAUAUAUGAGACUUAUCAUAUAUGUACAUAUGAGAUAUAUAUUUUAUAUAUAUAUAUAUGACUGGGUCUCACUAUGUUGCCCAGGCUGCCCACAAAAUAUUUAUUAAAUAGAAAUGGAAAAAUAGUAACUUUAUAGUGCUAGACCACACCUUAACCUGUGAUCCAAAUUAGUAUAACUAGUAAUAGGUCAAAUAGACAUCAUGUACCUCCUGAGAUGAUGCACGAAGAAGGACACAACUUCACUUCUGUGAUAAUCCUGCAAAAAUCAACAACCUGCAUUUAAUCAUGAGGAUACAUCAGACAAACCCAAACUAAAGACUAUUUAUGUAUUUAUUCAUUUAUUUGAGACACAGUCUCUCUCUGUGGCCCAGGCUGGAGUGCAGUGGUGCGAUCUUGGCUCACUGCAGGCUCCGCCUCCCAAGUUCAGGCCAUUCUCCUGCCUCAGCCUCCUGAGUACCUGGGACUAAAGGCGCUCGCCACCACAUCCGGCUAAUUUUUUUUUUUUUUUUUUUUUUUUAGUAGAGAUGGGGUUUCACCGUGUUAGCCAGGAUGGUCUUGAUCUCCUGACCUUGUGAUCUGCCCGCCUCGGCCUCCCAAAGUGCUGGGAUUACAGGCAUGAGCCACCAUGCCCAGCCAAGAACAUUUAUUAAAAUAACUGGCCCACACUCUUCAAAAAUGCCAAGCACAUGAAAGACAAAGAAAGGCUGAGGAACAAUUCCAAAUUAAAUAUGACUAACAAGACAUGACAAGUAAAUGCAACCUGGGAUCCUGGAUCAAAUCCUGGACCAAAAAAAAAUUAAUAAAGGAUAUUCUUUGAACAAUUGGCAAAAUUUGAAUAAGAAGGCAUAUAGAUCAGAAAAUAUUAUUAUUAAUGUUAAUAUCCUGAUUUUGAUAACAAAGACAAGAAAAUAACCUUAUUCUUAGGAAAUACACACAACUAUUUUGAGCAAAAGGGCUAUGAUAUCUGUAACUUACUUUUGAAAGGCUCAGAAAACAAUGAUAUGUAGGACAUAUACAUAAUGUAUGUAUAAUUAUAUAUGCAUGAAGAGAGAGACAGGGAGACAGACAGAGAGAAAGGAUGAUAAACCAAUUGUGGUAAAAUGCUAGUUGUUGGGGGAUUUGGGUGAAGGGUAAAUGUGAAUUCUUUGCGCUGGUCUUGCAACUUUUCUGUAAGUGUGCAAUGAUUCCAAAAUAAAGAUUUAACUAACUGACUAAAAAAA
rnacentral:lncRNA from 1 species